ACUUAAAUUGAAGAGUUUGAUCAUGGCUCAGAUUGAACGCUGGCGGCAGGCCUAACACAUGCAAGUCGAGCGGUAGCACAGAGAGCUUGCUCUCGGGUGACGAGCGGCGGACGGGUGAGUAAUGUCUGGGAAACUGCCUGAUGGAGGGGGAUAACUACUGGAAACGGUAGCUAAUACCGCAUAAUGUCGCAAGACCAAAGUGGGGGACCUUCGGGCCUCAUGCCAUCAGAUGUGCCCAGAUGGGAUUAGCUUGUAGGUGGGGUAACGGCUCACCUAGGCGACGAUCCCUAGCUGGUCUGAGAGGAUGACCAGCCACACUGGAACUGAGACACGGUCCAGACUCCUACGGGAGGCAGCAGUGGGGAAUAUUGCACAAUGGGCGCAAGCCUGAUGCAGCCAUGCCGCGUGUGUGAAGAAGGCCUUCGGGUUGUAAAGCACUUUCAGCGGGGAGGAAGGCGGUGAGGUUAAUAACCUCAUCGAUUGACGUUACCCGCAGAAGAAGCACCGGCUAACUCCGUGCCAGCAGCCGCGGUAAUACGGAGGGUGCAAGCGUUAAUCGGAAUUACUGGGCGUAAAGCGCACGCAGGCGGUCUGUCAAGUCGGAUGUGAAAUCCCCGGGCUCAACCUGGGAACUGCAUUCGAAACUGGCAGGCUAGAGUCUUGUAGAGGGGGGUAGAAUUCCAGGUGUAGCGGUGAAAUGCGUAGAGAUCUGGAGGAAUACCGGUGGCGAAGGCGGCCCCCUGGACAAAGACUGACGCUCAGGUGCGAAAGCGUGGGGAGCAAACAGGAUUAGAUACCCUGGUAGUCCACGCCGUAAACGAUGUCGAUUUGGAGGUUGUGCCCUUGAGGCGUGGCUUCCGGAGCUAACGCGUUAAAUCGACCGCCUGGGGAGUACGGCCGCAAGGUUAAAACUCAAAUGAAUUGACGGGGCCCGCACAAGCGGUGGAGCAUGUGGUUUAAUUCGAUGCAACGCGAAGAACCUUACCUGGUCUUGACAUCCACAGAACUUAGCAGAGAUGCUUUGGUGCCUUCGGGAACUGUGAGACAGGUGCUGCAUGGCUGUCGUCAGCUCGUGUUGUGAAAUGUUGGGUUAAGUCCCGCAACGAGCGCAACCCUUAUCCUUUGUUGCCAGCGGUCCGGCCGGGAACUCAAAGGAGACUGCCAGUGAUAAACUGGAGGAAGGUGGGGAUGACGUCAAGUCAUCAUGGCCCUUACGACCAGGGCUACACACGUGCUACAAUGGCAUAUACAAAGAGAAGCGACCUCGCGAGAGCAAGCGGACCUCAUAAAGUAUGUCGUAGUCCGGAUUGGAGUCUGCAACUCGACUCCAUGAAGUCGGAAUCGCUAGUAAUCGUAGAUCAGAAUGCUACGGUGAAUACGUUCCCGGGCCUUGUACACACCGCCCGUCACACCAUGGGAGUGGGUUGCAAAAGAAGUAGGUAGCUUAACCUUCGGGAGGGCGCUUACCACUUUGUGAUUCAUGACUGGGGUGAAGUCGUAACAAGGUAACCGUAGGGGAACCUGCGGUUGGAUCACCUCCUUACCUUAAAGAA
rnacentral:rRNA from 1 species